rnacentral:lncRNA from 13 species
AUGUGUUUAAUAGAACCAGAAUCAUAUCAGCCAUUCCGAAUCAGAACAGUUGUGUUUAAUAGAACCAGAAUCAGAACAGAUGUGUUUAAUAGAACCAGAAUCAGAACAGUUGUGUUUAGUUUAGUAAAUCAGGAAGCAGUAUUCCAUAUACCUACAGCAUUCUUCACAUUGCUUCUUCAGUCUUCAGUGACCACAUACCAAAAGGCAACACCAUACCCUUAUACACAAGUUAAUGCUUUCUUCCAAUGACAAAACUGAUUCAUAUUAUGAUUUGAAAGUUUGUCAUGUAAUUCUGUACAUUUCAAAGACAAAGAUGGCCACAGAAGUUUGUGAUUCAUUGUGUACACAUAAUGCAGUGAGUGGGCAGCUUACAUGUAAUUUAAUGUGACAUGUGGCCAUCAAGUUUUUUCAAAUCAUUCGUACGUCAGGGUUGGGGGUCAAUUCCACAUUUGUCUCACAUCUGAGUAAAAUUUGAUUUGGAAUUCCACUUCACUUCCUGAAUUGAAAUGGGAUUGACCAAAACCCCGGCUGAGUGAGUGGGGUCCCCUCUAAAGCGUGCCUGCCAGCCACAUAUUCUAUUUAAAACAAGUAUAUUAACAUCAUAUAGGUGCCUCCCAAAUGGAACCCUGGUCAAAAGCAGUGCACUAUUUAGGGAAUAGGGUGCCAUUUGGUAUACACUGUUAAUCCACCCCCUGGUCUAGCCAACGGGGGGGGGGGGGUAAUUAACAAGGAAGUUCUGGGACCGUAGUACACCAGGGGUGUAUUCAUUAGGUAACACACACCAGGUUUUACAACGGAAACAAGAGUUUAUAUUGGACCAAUUCAGAUAGGUGGGUCCCCUACACGUUUCGUUCCUUUUGCUUCCUUUUAGAUCCUAGUGAAUACACCCCUGGACUCACUAGUACAUUCAAAUACACAUCAGACAUUGUGUGAACAUGCCACGCAUCUUAACCAGACUAUAGUAAAAAACAAACAUACAAAUCCUUCCUGAGACUACUUAGUUUACACAGGCAGCCCAAUUCUGAUCUUUUGACCAAUUAUUGACAAAACACCUGAUCUGAUUGGUCAAAAGACCAAUUCGUGUAAAAAGAUCAGAAUUAGGCUGCCUGUGUAAACACAUAUCCUUAGCAGUGUUUCCCUUUUUUUCAUUCACUUGCCGACACUCCAAAAAAACAGGAGAAUUUAAAAUUCCCAAGAUGUCUUGGUAUGGAGCCCCCCAUUGAUUUUGUUAUGUUUGACCAGAUAGCACAAGAACACGGUAUGGCAAAAUCUGUAGCAUUGUAGGAAAUGAGCUUUUACAAACAAACAGCUACAUUUUUUUUCUGCAAACAAGAGGAGGGUCUCUUAAAAAUGUGUGGACGGAGAUUUCUCUUCUUCACUUUAUGGAAAAUGUAAGAGCUUGAGCUUUUUUUUAGAACCAUUCACUUCAACAAUAUGUUAUUUUCUUAGAACAGGUAUUAAAAAGAGAACCAUUUUGAUUGUGAUCAUUUGUGAUUCUUCUUUUGUCUUUUGCGACACACAAGACAUAAGAGUGACAUCAUAUAGAACCCCCCUCCAGGGAACUCUCAACUUACUGUUGCUAGGUAGAAUAGUAGAACACACCAAGGUGUAAUUUCAAAAUGUUGGUUGUGCAUCAGCAGUUACGUAAGUCACUGACAGCCACUCAAAUAGCCCAUAUCAGCGAAGAAAAAAAAAAUGUAGAUUGGUAAAUUAGUCUAGUAGUAAUCAUGGUCGAAUUACUGACCAGGGGGGCCUCCGUUGAUUUUGUUAAUUACUCUCACUCAGAUAAUCAUAUUAAAAACUGCAGACAUUUAUCUCCACCCUAUGGCAAAAUGUGUAGAAUUGCAGGGAAUUAGCUGUAAAACUGAAACAUGUCCUCUCUGCCCCAUUGCAAUUUUUUUUAUUAGAAUUGCAUGAAAUUUGUUAUAAAAUUGAAAAAUGUUCUCACCGCCCCAUGGCAAAAUGUGUAGAAUUGCAGCAAACUUGCUUUAAAACUGCAAAAAUGUAUAGAAUUACAGGAAAUAAACUAAAACAUACAUUCUCUCUCCGCUGUCAAGAAGGGUGCCGCUAAAAUGUUUUGCUCGCAAGAGGGGGG